UCCAUAACUAAUUAUUCCUAUAAAAAAGAACAACUAAAGGAAAAAUGCAUAGCCUACAAGCAAUGUUUCACGAGUUCUAUUCACUUUUGCAAAACACUGAAUUUAGAUGGAAUGCAGAAACCAACACUCUUACCGCUAGUGGAGAGGUCAGGCAAAAAUAUCUUAAGGAGGCACUUGCAGCAUGUGUUAAGACUGUGGAGGCUACUUCUUUAGUUCUUUACAUGUUUGCAGUUGAUGUCUGAUGGGCUAAUCCUACAAGCCGGUCUCGUCUGAUAUGAGCAUUAUGGAUCUUCAAUACGAAAUGGCCAUUUACUUGAGCAGUUUAAGUAUGAAAAUAAGAUAUUGUUUUACAUGUCAUAAAUUACACACGGCAUACUGCAUUUUAUGUUGGUCUAAUUAUGGAUGUAUUCCUUUAACUCUAAAUUCUAGUUAAAAUA